GCCGGGGCCGGGGAGGCGCGCGCCGAGCCGAGCGGAGCCCAGGAGGGAUGGAGAGCUGGCCGCCCGGGCUGCAGGAGCACCGGCGCGGGGCGUAGGCGGCGCGAGGCGGGCGCGAGGCGGGCGCUCGGGCGCGAGGCGCGUGCGGGCGCGGGAGCACUUUGCGAUAGGAUGAGGCUCCGGGCUGGCGCGGUAGUACUAUGAUUUGGUAUGUGGCCACUUUCAUAGCAAGUGUGAUCGGCACCCGAGGGCUUGCGGCUCAAGGCGCCCACGGCCUGCGAGAGGAGCCUGAGUUUGUGACGGCAAGAGCUGGGGAGAGCGUGGUCCUACGAUGCGACGUGAUCCACCCAGUGACGGGACAGCCCCCACCCUAUGUUGUAGAGUGGUUCAAGUUCGGGGUCCCCAUCCCUAUCUUCAUCAAGUUUGGCUACUACCCCCCGCACGUGGACCCUGAGUAUGCAGGCCGGGCCAGUCUUCAUGAUAAGGCAUCUCUGCGGCUGGAACAAGUGCGCUCUGAGGACCAGGGCUGGUACGAGUGCAAAGUGCUCAUGCUGGACCAGCAGUAUGACACCUUCCACAACGGCAGCUGGGUCCACCUCACCAUCAACGCCCCUCCCACCUUUACAGAAACACCCCCCCAGUACAUCGAGGCCAAGGAGGGUGGUAGUAUCACCAUGACCUGCACAGCUUUUGGGAACCCCAAGCCCAUUGUCACCUGGCUCAAGGAGGGGACACUCCUCGGUGCUAGUGGGAAAUACCAGGUGAGUGAUGGCAGCCUGACAGUGACAUCGGUCAGUCGGGAGGACAGAGGUGCCUACACCUGUCGAGCGUACAGCAUUCAGGGGGAGGCUGUCCACACCACCCAUCUGCUUGUCCAAGGGCCCCCUUUCAUCGUCUCCCCUCCUGAGAACAUCACCGUCAACAUCUCCCAGGAUGCUCUGCUCACCUGCCGGGCAGAGGCGUAUCCGGGCAACCUCACCUACACCUGGUACUGGCAGGACGAGAACGUCUACUUUCAGAAUGACCUGAAGCUGAGGGUGCGCAUCCUAAUCGAUGGGACCCUGAUCAUCUUCCGGGUGAAGCCAGAGGACUCCGGGAAGUACACCUGUGUGCCCAGCAACAGCCUGGGGCGUUCCCCCUCCGCCUCAGCGUACCUGACGGUGCAGUAUCCAGCCCGUGUCCUCAACAUGCCCCCUGUAAUUUAUGUGCCCGUGGGGAUCCAUGGCUACAUCCGCUGCCCUGUGGAUGCAGAACCACCAGCCACCGUGGUCAAGUGGAACAAGGACGGCCGCCCCCUGCAGGUCGAGAAGAACCUGGGUUGGACCCUGAUGGAGGAUGGCUCCAUUCGAAUUGAGGAGGCCACAGAGGAGGCUCUUGGCACUUACACCUGUGUGCCUUACAACACCCUGGGGACCAUGGGCCAGUCUGCCCCUGCGAGGCUUGUCCUGAAGGACCCCCCCUAUUUCACGGUGCUACCAGGCUGGGAGUACAGGCAGGAGGCUGGCCGGGAGCUGCUUAUCCCCUGCGCGGCCGCGGGGGACCCCUUUCCUGUCAUCACGUGGAGAAAGGUAGGGAAGCCCAGCAGAAGCAAGCACAGUGCCCUGCCCAGUGGGAGCCUGCAGUUCCGUGCCCUGAGUAAGGAGGACCACGGGGAGUGGGAAUGUGUUGCCACCAACGUGGUCACGAGCAUCACUGCCAGCACCCACCUCACCGUCAUUGGCACCAGCCCCCAUGCCCCGGGCAGUGUCCGGGUCCAGGUCUCCAUGACAACUGCCAACGUGUCCUGGGAACCAGGCUAUGAUGGAGGCUACGAGCAGACAUUCUCAGUUUGGUACGGACCUCUGAUGAAGCGGGCACAGUUUGGGCCCCAUGACUGGCUGUCCUUGCCAGUGCCGCCAGGACCCAGCUGGUUGCUGGUGGAUACCCUGGAGCCUGAGACAGCAUACCAGUUCAGCGUCCUGGCCCAGAACAAGCUGGGAACCAGCGCCUUCAGUGAGGUGGUCACUGUGAACACUUUAGCAUUCCCUAUUACAACUCCAGAACCCCUGGUGCUGGUCACCCCACCGAGGUGCCUCAUAGCCAAUCGGACUCAGCAGGGUGUGCUCCUGUCCUGGCUUCCGCCUGCCAACCACAGCUUUCCCAUCGACCGCUACAUCAUGGAGUUCCGCGUCGGGGAGCGCUGGGAGAUGCUCGACGAUGCCAUCCCCGGCACUGAUGGAGAGUUCUUUGCCAAGGAUCUGUCACAGGACACAUGGUACGAGUUCCGGGUUCUGGCCGUCAUGCAGGAUCUGAUCAGCGAGCCCAGCAACAUCGCCGGCGUCUCCAGCACAGACAUCUUCCCGCAGCCGGACCUGACCGAGGAGGGGCUGGCGCGGCCUGUGCUGGCGGGAAUCGUAGCUACCAUCUGCUUCUUGGCAGCUGCCAUCCUGUUCAGCACCCUGGCUGCCUGCUUUGUCAACAAGCAGCGCAAGCGUAAGCUCAAGCGCAAAAAAGACCCUCCACUCUCCAUCACCCACUGCAGGAAGAGCCUGGAGUCUCCCUUGUCCUCUGGCAAGGUGAGCCCUGAGAGCAUCCGCACGCUCCGGGCGCCGUCAGAAUCCUCGGACGACCAGGGCCAGCCUGCGGCCAAGAGGAUGCUGAGCCCUACCCGCGAGAAGGAGCUGUCGCUGUACAAGAAGACCAAGCGGGCCAUCAGCAGCAAGAAGUACAGCGUGGCCAAAGCGGAGGCCGAGGCGGAGGCCACCACGCCCAUCGAACUCAUCAGCAGAGGCCCUGACGGCCGCUUCGUGAUGGACCCUGCCGAGAUGGAGCCCUCACUGAAGAGCAGGCGCAUCGAGGGCUUCCCCUUCGCCGAGGAGACGGACAUGUAUCCCGAGUUCCGCCAGUCGGAUGAGGAGAAUGAGGACCCACUGGUGCCCACAUCUGUGGCCGCCCUGAAGUCCCAGCUCACCCCUCUGUCAUCCAGCCAGGAGUCCUACCUGCCACCACCAGCAUACAGCCCUCGGUUCCAGCCCCGUGGGCUGGAGGGCCCCGGUGGCCUGGAAGGUCGGCUUCAGGCCACAGGCCAGGCCCGGCCCCCUGCCCCCCGGCCCUUCCACCACGGCCAGUAUUAUGGGUACCUCAGCAGCAGCAGCCCUGGGGAGGUGGAGCCGCCCCCAUUCUACGUGCCAGAAGUGGGCAGCCCCCUGAGCUCCGUCAUGUCGUCCCCGCCCCUGCACACCGAGGGGCCCUUUGGCCACCCUACCAUCCCCGAGGAGAAUGGAGAGAAUGCAUCCAACAGCACGCUGCCCUUGACUCAGACACCUACAGGAGGGCGCUCCCCUGAGCCCUGGGGCCGGCCAGAAUUCCCCUUCGGGGGGCUGGAGACCCCAGCAAUGAUGUUCCCCCACCAGCUGCCACCCUGUGAUGUGCCCGAGAGUCUGCAGCCCAAGGCCGGCCUCCCCCGAGGACUGCCCCCCACCUCCCUGCAGGUGCCCGCAGCCUACCCGGGCAUCCUGUCUCUGGAGGCACCAAAGGGUUGGGCAGGCAAGUCGCCCGGCAGGGGCCCUGUCCCAGCGCCUCCCGCCGCCAAGUGGCAGGACAGACCUAUGCAACCUCUGGUAAGCCAAGGGCAGCUGCGACACACAAGCCAAGGCAUGGGCAUACCUGUGCUGCCUUACCCCGAGCCGGCUGAGCCGGGGGCACACGGCGGCCCCAGCACAUUUGGCCUGGACACCCGGUGGUAUGAGCCCCAGCCCCGGCCCCGGCCCAGCCCCCGGCAGGCCAGGCGUGCCGAGCCCAGUUUACAUCAAGUGGUGCUACAGCCCUCCCGGCUCUCACCUCUGACCCAAAGCCCCCUCAGCUCCCGCACUGGCUCCCCUGAGCUUGCCGCCCGGGCCCGGCCUCGCCCGGGCCUCCUACAGCAGGCAGAGAUGUCAGAGAUCACCCUGCAGCCUCCUGCUGCAGUCAGCUUUUCUCGAAAGUCCACACCUUCCACGGGCUCCCCGACCCAGAGCAGCCGCAGCGGGAGUCCCAGCUACCGGCCCGCCAUGGGCUUCACCACACUGGCCACAGGCUACCCUUCCCCUCCACCUGGCCCUGCCCCUGCUGGGCCCGGGGACAGCUUGGACGUGUUUGGACAGACGCCUUCCCCUCGAAGGAUGGGGGAGGAACUGCUCCGACCAGAGCCCCCACCACCCACGUUACCUACUUCAGGGACCCCGGAGCCUGACUUCUCCAGACCACCAGGCCAGGGGCCUCCUGUUCCCAAACUCCUGGCCCUUAGCAGCUCUAGUGAGCGCUGGACUCCAGCUCCCUCCUCAGCCUCUCCUGGAGGCCCAGAGAAAAGUGUCAGGCCUUGUGACCAUGUGCAGGACACGUCCCCCACCCCCACCUGUAUACCUCGCAGGAAGCUGCAGAGAGACAGACAGACAAGCUCCGGCUAUCAGCCCGCCUGAGAGAGCACUCUCUAAACUGUAGCAGCUGGUAUUCCAGCUAUCUGGGCAGUGUUGUCGAGACAAGCCUCUCCUCAGCUCAAUAGGCAGCAUGAAGAAGCCUCAGUCGAGGAUGAGAAGGGGUGAGGAUGUGCCUUCCACACUGGCAAGGUGUGCUCCCUCCCGCCCGGGCACCUGCACCCUUUGUCUGCCUUCCCGCUUCCUUCCCAGCUGCUGCUGUGCUGUAGGAUCUCUCUGGGUAGACUGGCGUGUUGGGUCACUUCUUCACGAGAGGGCUGUGUGUGCCUGUGUGUGCAUGUAAGGGACCCUGUGUGUCCUUCUCAGCUCUGCUGUCAGGGGCUAUGGAAAGUCAAGAAGUUGAUCCUGACCUGAACUUUUGAGGGAGCCUUUUGAAACUUUAUGGACUAAAGUACUAGAGAACAAUGACAUCCCCCAGGAAGAUGGAGGUCACUGCAUUGCCAGUGCAUGCAGGAAACCCCAGAGACCAGAGGCUUAUCUGCAUUUAGUGUGUAAGUCUCCUCUUCCCGCCUUGCUGCCAAGAUAUUUGAUGUUUUGGAGAAGAGGCUGCAGGUUUCCUAUCCCUCUUAACUUUUUUUUUUAACCUGAGACCUCUUGACCUUUGGAGUCUUCUUUUGCCCUCACAGCAUUGUCUGUCCUACCUCUUUUAAUCAGGACUUUCUAAAAACUGUUUGCGAUGGCAAUAGGGGAGGGAGUUGGGGGGUCCAGGAGAAGAAGAGCGAGGCACGCCCAUCCGCCGUAGCCCCAGAGCGUCCCUGCUUCUCUGAUCGUGUGCUAAUGCCAGUGCUGGUGGGAGGACAGAGUGACCUGUCUCUUUCUCUUUCCCCUUCAUUCCUCAGGCUCUGAGGUGGGUUACUUUGAGAAGAAAUGGCAUUGAGAACAUGUCUUUUAGGUUUUCCUCUUUUAUGACUCUUGAAAGAUUCUCUCCAAUAUGCACCGAGUGUCACAGACGGCCUGUCCUCUCAGCUCUCUUGGCUCCCUUGUGUACCUGGGCUGCUGCACGGGUGUGGCCAGACCGUGGACCCUGUCCUAACUGUGCAGUUGAUCCACCAGGCAAGUGACAAUCAGGAUGCAGGAAGAGAGGCCAGUCCACUUCUGUUCCAACCACCUCGUUUCUCUGUCGAAUCCGAAAAUGCAGAGGUUCACCACCUUCUUGUUACAGACAGCAAGGGCUCUGGGAGGCUGCCAGAUUUGGUGGUUCUGCCGUCAUCUCCUGCCACCUUCUCCUGUUUUCUUACAUGACCGAGGAGAGCUGAGCCUUGUCUGCAGAGCUGAGGAGACACUGCCCUGAAAAUGUUGGUAUAUGACAAGAACUCGCUGCUGUAAGCUGCUGCUGUUCUUCGGGAAUCUUGCAGCUGCAGGAGAAGCAGCUGGGGUCCGGGUUUCUCGCUUAGCACCCCCUUUUCUGGAGAUGGAGGAUGGUUCACUGGGAUGGGAGUUGCUUGCCCCCUGCUCUAAUAUGCCCUUUUACUUUCCAUGCAAAGGUCUUGAUGGUGGUGAUUUCUAGGAACUCCAGACGUUGAGCCUACUUCUCUCUCUGACACUGAAUACAUCCCAGCUUGAGUUACAUGGGAAGGGGCUUACUGCUAACGUCUCUCUCUCCCUUUGCUAGGGUCUGCUGAUUGCUCUGCAGGUUGGCUUCCAGCCGAGGUGGGCCAUGCUCCUGGAGCUUUCUACUGGGUUUUCUUCUUUCCAGGAGCAAUAGAAAGGCGGGUGUCAUGGAGCCAUCGUGGGCACCCUGGGUUCUGUGGGACUGAACUCUGUCCUUCUAUGGGUCAGCUGCUUGGAUUUCUUCCAGUCCCUCUUCCAAAGCCUCACACAUCCGGGAGCUGACCUGUGGCUCUCUGGUUGUCCUUUCCAGAACACUUCCACCUGCACCCGGGAACGCUGCUGCACCUGAGAGGCUGGAGGCUCUGAAAUACCAACGGAUAAAGAAGCCCAAAAAGUCAUCCAAGGGCUCUUCGAAGUCAAAGAAACGAUCCGACGGUUCUGCCUCCCAGGCUCAGCAGCUUCCCAACUCUCAGGUUCUGUGGCCCGAUGAAGCUGUCUGCCUCCGAAAGAAGAAGAGACAUUCUCGU